ensembl:misc_RNA 7SK 7SK RNA
GGAUGUGAAGGUGAUCUGGCUGCAACAUCUGUCACCACAUUGAUAGCCAAGGUUGAUUCGGCUAAUCUGCCUGAGUAGGCAGUGUCCCUUUCCUCCUUCACUGCUCCAUGUUUGUCUGCCCUGAAGUCCCACCAAUAGAAGGGACUGUUCCCUUGGUCAAGGGUAUAUGAGUAGUGGCACUCCCCUGCUAGAAUCUCCAAACAAGCUCUCAAAGAAGUUGAUGUAAUGGAAUGGUAGAAUAUGGCAGUUUGAUGUACUUCAGAUAAAUAUUUCUUCUUUUAAAAAUUUUUGUGUAUGUUGUGACACAUAAUAGAUAUGU